rnacentral:rRNA from 1 species
AACGUAGGAUCCGAGCGUUGUCCGGAAUCACUGGGUGUAAAGGGUGCGUAGGCGGGCUUGCGCGUCAAGGGUUAAAGACCUCGGCUCAACCGAGGGAAUGCCCUUGAUACGGCAGGCCUUGGGUGCGGGAGAGGAUGGUGGAAGUCCUGGUGUAGCGGUGAAAUGCGUAGAGAUCGGGAGGAACCCCGAAGGCGAAGGCAGCCAUCUGGACCGCCACUGACGCUGAGGCACGAAAGCGUGGGGAGCAAACAGG